GAUGAACGCUGGCGGCGUGCCUAAUACAUGCAAGUCGAGCGAACAGACGAGGUGCUUGCUCCUCUGACGUUAGCGGCGGAAGGGAGAGUAACACGUGGAGAACCUGCCUAUAGGACUGGGAUAACUUAGGGAAACCGGAGCUAAUACCGGAUAAUAUAUUGAACCGCAUGGUUCAAUAGUGAAAGACGGCUUUGCUGGAACUUAUAGAUGGAUCCGCGCCGCAUUAGCUGGUUGGUAAGGUAACGGCUUCCCAGGGCAGCGCUGGGUAGCCGACCCGCGAGCGUGUACCGCCACUCUGGAACUGAGCCGCGGUCCAGACUCUUACGUGCGGCCCCGGUAGGUACGCUUCGGCGAUGGGCGGAAGCCUGACGGAGCAGCGCCGCGUUGGUGAAGAAGGUCCUCGGGUCGUAUAACUCUGUUAUUGUUGAAGAACAAAUGUGUAAGUAACUAUGCACGUCGUGACGGUACCUGCACAGAAAGCCCCGGCUAACUACGUG
rnacentral:rRNA from 1 species